rnacentral:pre_miRNA from 1 species
UUUGUACUCCUUCCGUCCCAAAAUUCUUGUCUUAAAUUUAUCUAAAUACGGAUGUAUCUAGUUACAUUUUAGUGUUAGAUACAUCCGUAUCUAAACAAAUGUAAGACAAGAAUUUUGGGACGGAGGGAAUACUAC